ACCGAACAGGGCAAACCCGCCGCGAGACGGGGACGCAAAGUCACCGGUCUUUCUCCAGCGAAAGACGGCGGGACUGCCGGUC
rnacentral:ncRNA from 1 species